AGUGAACGCUGGCGGUAGGCCUAACACAUGCAAGUCGAACGGCAGCACAGUAAGAGCUUGCUCUUACGGGUGGCGAGUGGCGGACGGGUGAGGAAUACAUCGGAAUCUACUUUUUCGUGGGGGAUAACGUAGGGAAACUUACGCUAAUACCGCAUACGACCUACGGGUGAAAGCAGGGGAUCUUCGGACCCUGCGCGAUUGAAUGAGCCGAUGUCGGAUUAGCUGGUUGGCGGGGUAAAGGCCCACCAAGGCGACGAUCCGUAGCUGGUCUGAGAGGAUGAUCAGCCACACUGGAACUGAGACACGGUCCAGACUCCUAAGGGAGGCAGCAGUGGGGAAUAUUGGACAAUGGGCGCAAGCCUGAUCCAGCCAUACCGCGUGGGUGAAGAAGGCCUUCGGGUUGUAAAGCCCUUUUGUUGGGAAAGAAAAGCAGCAGGUUAAUACCCCGCUGUUCUGACGGUACCCAAAGAAUAAGCACCGGCUAACUUCGUG
rnacentral:rRNA from 1 species